CACAGGCGAAAGGCCAACCUGCUGGGCUGAAGGUGGACCAUGGGCCACGCCUGAGUGACAGGAGCCCCUCUGCAGCCAGAAGCGCCUCUGGAAAAACCCAACCCGACAGGACCGGCUCUAGAAAGGCCGCCGGGGGUCAGCCCGCUCCCUGCGGAGAGCAGGGGAGGGGAGGGUCCCGGGACCCUUCCAAGAUUUUCACAGCAUCUCAGCAGCGCGCCCAGAGCUCAGUCCAUGACCGGCUGCCCCCGGAGAAAGAAUUACGACUUGUCCGGCGCCCCGCUCCCCACACCGUUGGCCCCGGGGCCCCCUGACGACAGCCAGCUUGGGGGCUCCCGUCUGCAGGGCUAACGAUCUGCGACAGCAUUGGCGAGGGAACUGUCUACAGAUGAGGUGAGACACCCCAAACCUCUCCCUGCCUUCCUCCCGUAACCCCAGCUACACUUGUCCUAAAGGGGGGUUUUUUAAAAGAAGUUUCGAAAGGACAGAAGAGCAGAGUAACACGAUUAGCCGGUAAGCCCACACGUUUUAGAGAAAUCGCUUUUGCUCUGGUUUGUCAGGAAAGAACGGGGCCUGUCCUCAGGCCGGUGACGGCCGUUUGCCUCAGGGGGGCCUGGGCAGUCCUCCCCGCCGCCCCAGGCCCCAGGCCUGAGCCCGCGCCAACCUUCUGGUGCGCCGGGCACCAUUCCUACGGUCAGAGUCCUUCUGGGCCUUGUCCCUCCUCAGCCACCGGGGCAGCGCCCUGGGGGUGUGACCACGAAGUCCCAGGGCACCCCGCGCUUGGGAGGGGGCCCCGCCCAUGGCGGUCAGCGCUCCGCUAUCUCGGUCCUGACACUUCACCACUCCCCCUGGGACUCUGCUUGGUGGAUGAAGUCCAGUGGGACAAAUGAGUUCACGGCCCCCCAGCCCAGCGACUGCCGGGAGGGCCCGGGGCAGGUGCCAAGUCGCAGGGUGGGCCCGGGGCUCCUGUGAGGGUCUGCACUUGCAAUAAAAGCACACGGUGACAGGUCAAGAGAGAAACCACAGGAAAAGCUUUUUUUCUGUUUUCCUACUUCUUGAACAAGGGACCCUGUGUUUUCACCUGGCACUGAGGCCUGCAGAUUAUACAGCUGGCCAAGCUCAGUGACCUGGGGUCCACUCUGGAUGUAGAGAAAACACACCUCUGUCAGGGGCACGGGCAUUGGGUCCAGAAAACGCCCUGCUGCCGACCAGCAUGUUGAAAAAGGAGGCCACAGAGCGGGGAGGAACCAAGCCAAGGACAUCAAGGCAAAGGUGAAACCAAGUUCCCCAGAAACCAAAUUUCCCUUGCCAGGUUUAUGAACCUCUCUAUCCAAAACUUUAUUCUCUUUCUUAUCCUAACCCCAUCCCCCUCAAGACUGAGGAGAAUCAGAGAAAAGUGGGGAUUGAAACAAAGCAGGACACUGCAGGGCCUUCCCAAGCACAAAAACACCUCUGUGUCCCACGUUUCUUGUUUGCAGAAAAAGGCUGUAAUCCCAAAGGUCUUCCCUGAGUUCCAAAUAGCAGACUCAAGCAGUUACUAAUUAGCGAAGUGAGGGAGUGGGGAAACAGAAAAAGCAGUUAAGCAAGAAAAGUAAUGACAGCUUAAACAACAAUCGAGUUGUAGGUCCUCCUCAUAGAAUGUGUAUAACAAUCUGAUGUGUAUCUUUGAGUUGUUCUGCAGGAACUGGGACCCCCGCCCAGGUGGGGGAUGGUGACCACAUACUCACCACAAGCAUGCAGACCCCAGACUGGCUGGAACCAGAAGACUGUUGGUCAAAAAUCCCAAAACACCACUCUGUUAGCUCACCACCAACCAAUCAGAAGAAGGGCGCGUGAGCUGCAACCCUCGUCCCAAAUGUUGCCUUUAAAACCCCUUCCCUGAAAAUCAGUGAGGGGUUGGGGCUUUCAAGCAUGAGCUGUCCAUUCUCCUUGCUUGUUGCCCUGCAAAUAAACGCUGUGCUUUUCUUCACACACCACAGUGUCAGUAAGUUGGCUUUGCUACAUGGCGAGCAAGGUUGGUUCAGUAACAGAGGGUACCAGGCCCAGGGACAAAGGUCUGAAGUGGCCUUGACAGCCCAUGGGCUGUGUGAGAACAAGCAACGGGCUCCUGCGUCACUGCAGCUUGCACAUCUCCCUGGAGAGCAUCCAGCACCACGGGGACCCCAGGCUCUCAGGGCCUGGGGACAAGUGCCAGCAUCUGGACACACAUGGGCUGGACACAGGCCCCACAGGACACAGUUACAUGAGUGUGCAUGCCACAAAAGCCUGGGAGAAAACACAUAAAACUCUUCACAGUGUUUCUCAGCAAGGCAGCGGUUGAUAAACACCCUCGGUGUAAGGAGCGGUGAAACACAGAAUCCACGCAUAUUUCUGGGAACGCGACCAGCUCCUUGUCAGUAGCCCCAGCACAGGACGUGGGUGUGCGAGUACUGGCACACGGGGGCAUACACGAACGCUCAUGGCACACACAGCCCACACCCAAUCCACACUCCGGUUUCUCACAAAGCCCAGACUGGGCUGUCUGUCACGGCCAGCAAUAGUGGCAUAGAUGUACAACAGCGGAUGAGAUGGUUGGAUGGCAUCACUGACUCGAUGGACAUGAGUCUGAGCAAGCCCCAGGAGUUGGUGAUGGACAGGGAGGCCUGGCGUGCUGCAGUCCAUAGGGUCACAAAGAGUUGGACAUGACUGAGCGACUGAACUGAACUGUCAUUUAAAUUUUUUCACACCCACUUGCUAAAAAAGCAGAAAAGAAGCAGGUGGAAUCAGCUAACAGCUGUGAGGCCCGCGUCACACCUGUGUGUCCAUCGUUGCCUGAGACCACAGCUCCAUUCUCCCCAGCAGCAUCCUCGCCACCAACAGAGAACACCCCCCUUGGCUGGUGACGUGGUCCAGAAAACUCAGGAAGCCCCCUCAAGUGAACCUUAUGUUGGGUGGGCCUGAGGCCCCAGACCCUGGUCUAGCAAGGCGGACUCACUUACGUGUAAAUCGCGGGUACAUCUAAAUCCAAAGGGACAAGCAUGCUGCAAUUACGAGGAGCAAUGAAAGAUGGAAGAAACUGGAAUUAAUACUGACCUGCUUGGUCCAGCUGGGAGCAGGUGACUCAAAGGAAGAAGGCUGGGGUGAUGAAGACAGAAG
ensembl:lncRNA